UACGUAGGGUGCGAGCGUUAAUCGGAAUUACUGGGCGUAAAGGGUGCGCAGGCGGUUAUAUAAGACAGAUGUGAAAUCCCCGGGCUUAACCUGGGAACUGCGUUUGAAACUACAAGGCUAGAGUGUGGCAGAGGGGGGUGGAAUUCCACGUGUAGCAGUGAAAUGCGUAGAGAUGUGGAGGAACACCGAUGGCGAAGGCAGCCCCCUGGGUUAACACUGACGCUCAGGCACGAAAGCGUGGGGAGCAAACAGG
rnacentral:rRNA from 1 species